AGUGGAAUUUCUGGGUCAUAUGGUAACUCUAUGUUUCACUUUUUGAGGAACUGACAAACUGUUUCCCAGAGUGGCUGCACCAUUUAAUAUUCCUGCCAGCAGU
rnacentral:pre_miRNA from 1 species